UACGAAGGGGGCUAGCGUUGCUCGGAAUCACUGGGCGUAAAGCGCACGUAGGCGGAUUGUUAAGUCAGGGGUGAAAUCCUGGAGCUCAACUCCAGAACUGCCUUUGAUACUGGCGAUCUUGAGUCCGGGAGAGGUGAGUGGAACUCCGAGUGUAGAGGUGAAAUUCGUAGAUAUUGGGAAGAACACCGGUGGCGAAGGCGGCGACCUGGUCCUUGACUGACGCUGAGGCGCGAAAGCGUGGGGAGCAAACAGG
rnacentral:rRNA from 1 species